GUGUCAGCCGCCGCGGUAAUACAGGGGGGGCAAGCGUUGUUCGGAAUUACUGGGCGUAAAGGGUCUGUAGGUGGCCAACUAAGUCAGACGUGAAAUCCCUCAGCUUAACUGGGGAACUGCGUCUGAUACUGGAUGGCUCGAGUGUGGGAGAGGAAUGCGGAAUUCCAGGUGUAGCGGUGAAAUGCGUAGAGAUCGGGAGGAACACCGGUGGCGAAGGCGGCGUUCUGGACUGUUUCUGACACUGAGAGACGAAAGCCAGGGGAGCAAACGGGAUUAGAUACCCCGGUAGUCC
rnacentral:rRNA from 1 species